GCUAACACACACAUUAAAACCCAACUGUUCGGGCAAGCCUGGUGGUAGAUAAUUUUAUAGGAAAACUAAGUGUCAGUUUAUUAUUACUAUUAACAUUACCACUGUUUUUCUACUUAAAUCUUGAGGCCUGAUUGUCGACAGACUUUACUUCUUUUAGUUUGUGUGAAUCGAAAACAAGAGCGUUCCUCAUGCCUGCAUUAUACCCACGGGGCUAUCCAGUGGCGCUGAAAUAUUCAUACAGGGAAUGGUACCCAACAUCCCCGUUAGCUUUUCGAUCGGCCUACAGUGGGUCACUGAUCCCAAAGCUGCGAACAUCCUAUUACACUUACAAGACGCCGUCACUGUGGUACGGAACUCACGUGCCGAUAAGUGGGAUAAGAAGGAGAGAGAUGUCGAUACCAAUUUCUGUCCCACUCCGCCUUUCUUGGUGGUCAUCAGUGCCUUCUCGGUCGGAGCUGAGGUAAAA
rnacentral:lncRNA from 1 species